UACAGAGGGGGCAAGCGUUAUUCGGAUUUAUUGGGCGUAAAGAGCGUGUAGGCGGCUAGGUAGGUCCGUUGUGAAAACUCGAGGCUCAACCUCGAGACGUCGGCGGAAACCAUCUGGCUAGAGUCCGGAAGAGGAGAGUGGAAUUCCUGGUGUAGCGGUGAAAUGCGCAGAUAUCAGGAAGAACACCCGUGGCGAAGGCGGCUCUCUGGGACGGUACUGACGCUGAGACGCGAAAGCGUGGGGAGCGAACAGG
rnacentral:rRNA from 1 species